rnacentral:rRNA from 1 species
UGGAAGUAAAAGUCGUAACAAGGUCUCCGUUGGUGAACCAGCGGAGGGAUCAUUAAAGAGUUCUAUGACUCCUAACCCCUGUGAACAUACCAUACGUUGCCUCGGCAGGUGCCGGGUCUCGCCGAGAGGCGGGCCCGGCGCAGCCUGCCGGCGGCCCAUCAAACUCUGUCUAAUAACUGAAUCUCUGAGGCUAUUUCUAAAUGAAUUAAAACUUUCAACAACGGAUCUCUUGGCUCUGGCAUCGAUGAAGAACGCAGCGAAACGCGAUAGUUAAUGUGAAUUGCAGAAUUUAGUGAAUCAUCGAAUCUUUGAACGCACAUUGCGCCCGUUAGUAUUCUAGCGGGCAUGCCUGUUCGAGCGUCAUUUCAACCCUCAAGCCCUAGUUGCUUGGUGUUGGGAGGCUACAGUUGUACCUCCUGAAAUGUAGUGGCGGAGCCGGUCCUCGCUCUAGACGUAGUAGGUUCUAUCUCGUCUAUCAGCUGGGCCGGUCCCCUGCCGUAAAACCCCCCAAUUCUAUCAAGGUUGACCUCGGAUCAGGUAGGAAUACCCGCUGAACUUAAGCAUAUCAAUAAGCGGAGGA